AUUGAACGCUGGCGGCAUGGCUAAAACAUGCAAGUCGAACGAGAACCCACUUCGGUGGGGGACAGUGGCGAAAGGGCGAGUAAUGGUAUCGAAUGUAUCCUGAGGUGGAGGAUAGGUCAGAGAAAUCUGGCGUAAUACUUCAUGAUCUCUUCGGAGCAAAGCUUCGGCGCCUUGGGCGCAGCGAUACUCCUAUCAGGUUGUUGGUGGGGUAAAAGCCUACCAAGCCGAAGACGGGUAGCGGGUGUGAGAGCAUGACCCGCCGCAUCGGGACUGAGACACUGCCCGGACUCCUACGGGAGGCUGCAGUAACGAAUAUUCCGCAAUGCGCGAAAGCGUGACGGAGCAAUGCCGCGUGCAGGAUGAAGCGGUUUCGCCGUGUAAACUGCUGUCAGGGGCUAGGAAGAUCUGACCAGCCCCAAAGGAAGAGCCGGCUAAUCUCGUGCCAGCCGCCGCCGUAAAAC
rnacentral:rRNA from 1 species